UUUUACUCAGAACAUUGGUCUCCAGUUGAUCCACUUUUGAAAGUUUUAUUUAAAAAAGCUCUUCUUUAUAGAUAAAGUUUUUUCAAAUUUAGCUUGCGGGAGAGAUUAAUUAUGUUGUUGGUAUGGCGACAGUUUUUUUUGUAUUGUUUGCGUACUUAGCAACAUUCUUAUCUUGUUUUCUUUUUCUUCGAGGGGCGAGCAGAGGAUAAAACGGGGAUUCCUUCGUUAGUGAUUACGAUUUAAUAAUUCGACUUCGGUGAAUUUGUUUUUGUUUCGAAGCCCCAAUGAUAUCUUCAUCGACCGAUUUCUCUCUGAAUUUCAGUUUACCAAAUCAGAGAAUUGCCGGUGUCAAUGCUAAGAUCCAUGUUAUCACACUCUAUGACAAAACCACAAAAUCCCGAGGAAAAGUCGGGUGAAAAAAGUCGAAAAACUUGGUUGAAUCUUCAAAAUUUUCUCCUAAAUUGGCGCAUCCAAGUGGCAAAAUUCAGGGACGUGCCCUUCAGCAACUACGCACUCCAGAAUGUUCCAUCGUCCUUCAAAAAUUCGCAGAUUCUCCCAUGAGAUGAUUUUCGCAGCACCAAACAGGUAAUCGGGCACACUAUCUUUAUUAAGAAUAAAAAAUAACAGAACAAAGUCAAAUAGCGAAACAGUUUGUUCAGGAACAAUAAUUGGUGUAUAUUCCAAUUGAUAUUAAUGAUAUGAGGCUAUUUGUAGGUUUAUCCAGCGUUUGUUAAUCACUGGUAGCUCUGAAACCCGGAACUCAGCAACAUGUAACAACUUUCAACGAUUAUUCCUUGCUUGAUUCACAUGUAAACAAAUAUUGUGACGCAAUUGCACGAGACUCUAUAUCAACUAGAACGUGUUCUGAUGGUAACGUGAGGUUCAGCCCCCACCACGUCUCAACGACAGAUGCAAGUUUAACCGAAACCCCCCCACCCUCUGAAAAAAAAACAACCACUGGAAAUUGUCUUCCAACCGAAAAAUUGAUCAUCCGCGACCUUCCAAAUGUUUUAUUUUUUAUAAAAUUUAUAAAACGCCCGGAAAAAAAUCAAUAGUCAGUGAAAAAUCUUCAAUUGGCGGUGAAAAGAAAGCCUGACCCAAUUCGCCCAACUAAUCAACACCACAACCCUUGGUUACGGGAAUAUCUCUGGAUCUGUAGGACAUGGCGAAAUUUUUCAUUGGAAUUUUUUGCAAAGGGAGAAAUAAGCUACAAAAAGUUUUUAAUAAAUAUUUUGUUAUCUGCGACUGAUUCGGGAAUAAUCACCCGAAACAACCGGUUGCUUCAGUUGAUUUUGGAUGAAUCUUUCAGGAAUAUCUCUUGAUCUUUGUGUGGUACGGAAAGUUUGAAAAAAUAUCGUCGUGCCCUCCCUCAUGUGGGGUUGGUACGAAAGAGCCCAGGGGAACAUUAACCCCUCGUUGCGGAUCUCACCCCAAGGUUAUCCUCGUUGACUGAACCUCUAUCUGUACCAAAGAGGAUUGACUAAAGUAGAGGCUCACUUCUGGGGGUUGGAGUGACCCCAACGACA